rnacentral:rRNA from 1 species
AUACCUACGGGACGCAGCAGUCGGGAAUAUUGCGCAAUGGAGGAAACUCUGACGCAGUGACGCCGCGUAUAGGAAGAAGGUUUUCGGAUUGUAAACUAUUGUCGUGAGGGAAGAAGAUGACGGUACCCCAGGAGGAAGCUCCGGCUAACUAUGUGCCAGCAGCCGCGGUAAUACAUAGGGGGCAAGCGUUAUCCGGAAUUAUUGGGUGUAAAGGGUGCGUAGACGGAAGAACAAGUUGGUUGUGAAAUCCCUCGGCUCAACUGAGGAACUGCAACCAAAACUAUUCUCCUUGAGUGUCGGAGAGG